AUGCAAUUAGUUAUCAAUGGGCGCACGGUGAUUAAUAUUAACGGGGAGGUGGGGCCUUACUUCCCAACGGGCCAGGGGGUUCGUCAGGGUGAUCCCCUCUCGCCCUUCCCCUUUAACUUGGUGGUCGAUGCCCUCGCCAUUAUCCUGGACCUGGCCAGGAGGGCUGGCCACAUUAGAGGCAUUUGCCCCCAUCUAACUGGGGAUGGGGGCCUUACUCAUCUGCAGUAUGCAGACAAUACGAUCCUUAUGGUGGAGGGGUCGGAUGAGGACAUCCGACACCUCAAGUUCUUCCUGUUAUGCUUCCAGGAAAUGUCGGGGCUUACGAUUAACUUCGCAAAGAGCGAGGUUAUGGUGACGGGGUACUCCAUGGAGGAGGCAACCAGUAUAGCCAACCGUCUUAACUGUCGCUUGGGAUCCUUCCCGACGACCUACCUCGGCAUGCCGAUUAGUGAUGUUUGCCUUCAGGAGAAGGACCUCCGCCCUACAGUUGACAAGCUCCAGUUCAGGGUGGAACCUUGGCAAGGACAAUGGCUCUCCAAGGCAGCCCGGGUGGUUCUCAUGAACUCAUCCCUCAUUAGCCUUCUCAUGUACCUGAUGAGAUUCUAUAGUCUUCAUGAAUCCCUGCACCAGGAUAUUGCUAAGUACCUCUCCCGGUUUUUUGGGGCUCACUAG
rnacentral:rRNA from 1 species